UUCCAGCUCAAAUUAUUCCAAGUAAGUAAAUAAUUUCAUGAUUUGUGAUUUUAUAAACAAUAUACAAAAUUAUUUGUUCCCACUUUUAGUUUCUUUACGACAAUCUAAACAACGAGAUAUUCUAAGUUUUUAUGUACAAUAUUUUGCCAUAACUCAAAUGUUUGAUACAUCUCUUAUUUCCUUAUUUUUGUUUUUCAAAACUAUAACUGUGUGCAACUAAAAAUGUUUCCUCACUUAAUCUUGGCUCUAUUGUGUAACUAUUAUUCUAUGCAUUUCUACUUUAGUAUGUGUGGUUUCGUUCUUACACUUCUAUUUACUUAAUGAAGUUGCACAUUUUUCUACAGGUACAUCUAGGGAGUCAAAUAUUGACAAUAGUGCUUGAUCAUCUUCCAAAGCAUUCAUCACUAAAUUUAGAAAGAACUUUCCUAAAAGCCUAUCAUAAUUUAAAAGAGCAAUCAAAUAUCUUCACGAAAAACUUCUCUUUUGUUUAUAUUUACAAAAUGAACAUUAUAUAACUCAAACCAACGAUGACUUUUUUGUCAAAAUAUUUGAUUGUUCUUUUGAAUUAUAUUGUGCUUUUGAGAGUUUUGUUUCUAAUGUAGUGAUGAUUACUUUAGAAGAGGCCCAAGCUCUAUAUUUCAACAUGAUAAUACAAUGAGGUGAUUCUUUAACUAACAUUUAUUAUAUGACAUUAUUUUUCCAUAGUACCAUUUGUUGCUUUUGUGUUAUAUUUUAGAAUGGACUUCAAAAGGACAAUUUAACUGACACUAAUUACCGGCCAAUAUCUACAUAGCCUCACAAAAUUCAUUAAAUUUUUCUUUGAUUUAUGUUCUUACUAAUAUUAUACGGGUAAUAUUAUGCAGGUAAGUGAAGUGAGAUCUAAUCUUAAUGAGAUUAGGUAUGACAUUAAUUUAAUCUAUGAGAAGUUAUCCAAAAAAAAUUUUUCUUCUUCAUUUUUAUCUCACAGCAAUUUAUCCUGAAUAUCUUUAUGAAUGUAGGAAGCUUUUUAUGAUUACAACGGACCAUCUACUGGAUGAUCAAGUCAUAACUAUAGAAAAACUUCACUAAUCAUAGUCAUACCAGUUUGAAGACAGCAUCAAUGCCACAAAAUAAAAGUUUGAUUUGCUCGUUUUGUCCUUCCCAUCUAAAUGAUUCUACCACAAUAACUUCCAAAGCUUCGUUUUAUUUUGUAGCACCGAUAACAAGAACUUUGUGAGACUUUUGGCUUGUAACUUUGUUCUAUUUUGAAACACUACUUGUGUAAAAACUCUUCCAUGAACUUUGAGUGUAACAACAAUGUAUAAUAAGCUUCAUGAUACUUUAGCUUCUAACUUGACUAUGAUGAUAUAAC
rnacentral:lncRNA from 1 species